UACGGGGGGGGCAAGCGUUGUUCGGAAUUACUGGGCGUAAAGGGCUCGUAGGUGGCCAACUAAGUCGGGUGUGAAAUCCCCAGGCUUAACCUGGGAACUGCAUUCGAGACUGCAUUGCUAGAGUAUGGGAGAGGGAAGUGGAAUUUCCGGUGUAGCGGUGAAAUGCGUAGAUAUCGGAAGGAACAUCAGUGGCGAAAGCGACUUCCUGGACCAAUACUGACGCUCAUGUGCGAAAGCGUGGGGAGCAAACAGG
rnacentral:rRNA from 1 species